CUAAGUUUGAUGGCGACCGGCGCACGGGUGAGUAACACGUAUCCAACCUGCCGAUGACUCGGGGAUAGCCUUUCGAAAGAAAGAUUAAUACCCGAUGGCAUAGUUCUUCCGCAUGGUAGGACUAUUAAAGAAUUUCGGUCAUCGAUGGGGAUGCGUUCCAUUAGGUUGUUGGCGGGGUAACGGCCCACCAAGCCUUCGAUGGAUAGGGGUUCUGAGAGGAAGGUCCCCCACAUUGGAACUGAGACACGGUCCAAACUCCUACGGGAGGCAGCAUG
rnacentral:rRNA from 1 species